GAUGAACGCUAGCGAUAGGCUUAACACAUGCAAGUAGAACGCUGAGGACUGGUGCUUGCACCGGUCUAAGGAGCUGCGGACGGGUGAGUAACGCGUAGGUAACCUACCUCAUAGCGGGGGAUAACUACUGGAAACGAUAGCUAAUACCGCAUGACAAUAGGGUACACAUGUACCCUAUUUAAAAGGGGCAAAUGCUUCACUAUGAGAUGGACCUGCGUUGUAUUAGCUAGUUGGUAAGGUAACGGCUUACCAAGGCGACGAUACAUAGCCGACCUGAGAGGGUGAUCGGCCACACUGGGACUGAGACACGGCCCAG
rnacentral:rRNA from 1 species